rnacentral:rRNA from 1 species
UACAGAGGGGGCAAGCGUUGUUCGGAAUUACUGGGCGUAAAGGGCGCGUAGGCGGCCCGCUAAGUCGAACGUGAAAUCCCCGAGCUCAACUCGGGAACUGCGUCCGAUACUGGUGGGCUUGAAUCCGGGAGGGGCGAGUGGAAUUCCUGGUGUAGCGGUGAAAUGCGCAGAUAUCAGGAGGAACACCAAUGGCGAAGGCAGCUCGCUGGAACGGUACUGACGCUGAGGCGCGAAAGCGUGGGGAGCAAACAGG